rnacentral:rRNA from 1 species
CUGGAGCGGGGGACCUAUACUCUGCCGUUACGGCUUGAGAGCUCUUGAUUGAGUCUCCUGGCUGUAACGAGUAGGAGGGUUGUAACGGUUAGCGUCGAAGGCUUUGGGCGUGAGCCCGGCUGGAGCUUCCGUUAGUGCAGAUCUUGGUGGUAGUAGCAAAUAUUCAAGUGAGACUCUUGAAGACUGAAGUGGAGAAGGGUUCCACGUGAACAGCAGUUGAAUGUGGGUCAGUCGGUCCUAAGCUAUCGGCUAAUGCCGUAGUAAACGAGGGUGGAGCUUUCGGUUCCGCUCGGUUGGCGAAAGGGAAGCGGGUUAAUAUUCCCGCACCAGGACACGGAGAUGGCUAGCCUUCUGGUUAGUCAAGGGCGGUAACGCAAACGAAGUAGCUAACGCUGCAUGAAGUCCGAGCCAGAGUUCUCUUUUCUGGUUUAGGAGUCUAAUCCCUGGAAAGGGUUCAGCCCAAGAUAGGGACGUUGGCUCCGUAAAGCACCGCGGUUCCUGUGGUGUCUCGUGCGCUUCAUGUGGUCCUUGAAACAGCUACGGAGCCUUAAUGAAUUUCGUGCCUGGCCGUACCGAUAUCCGCAGCAGGUCUCCAAGGUGAACAGCCUCUAGUCGAUAGAAUAAUGUAGGUAAGGGAAGUCGCGCAAAUUAGAUCCGUAACUUCGGGAAAAGGAUUGGCUCUAAGGGUUGGGCCGGUCGGGCUGUUGUGCAAAACUUGUUGGCUUUGCCCAUGGCUGCGGGAGGCUUCGGCCGAACGCGGACUAGCGGUAAGGCCGGCUUGUGGAGCGCUUCAGCUGCGUGCAGGUUUCGGCCUGUACUUCGGCCGGCAAUAAACAACCGACUUAGAACUGGCACGGACUCGGGGAAUCCGACUGUCUAAUUAAAACAGAGGAGACGGAUGGUCCUUGCGGACGUUGACCGUCUCUGAUUUCUGCCCAGUGCUCUGAAUGUUAACUUAAGGAAACUUAAUUAAGCGCGGGUAAACGGCGGGAGUAACUAUGACUCUCUUAAGGUAGCCAAAUGCCUCGUCAUCUAAUUAGUGACGCGCAUGAAUGGAUUAACGAGAUUCCCACUGUCCCUAUCUACUAUCUAGCGAAACCACAGCCAAGGGAACGGGCUUGGCAAAUACAGCGGGGAAAGAAGACCCUGUUGAGCUUGACUCUAGUCUGACUCUGUGAAGAAUCAUGAGAGGUGUAGCAUAAGUGGGAGGCUUCGGCCGCCAGUGAAAUACCACUACUUUCAUCGAUUCCUUACUUAUUCGGUAAGACGGGAAUUGAACUUAAUGUUCUUGAUUUUGGUGUUAAGGGUAGCCUCUUGGAGGUCGCCCGACCCGCGCCGACGACCGUGUCAGGCGGGGAGUUUGACUGGGGCGGUACAUCUGUCAAAUCGUAACGCAGGUGUCCUAAGGCGAGCUCAGAGAGGACGGAAACCUCUCGUAGAGUAAAAGGGCAAAAGCUCACUUGAUCUUGAUUUUCAGUACGAAUACAGACCGCGAAAGCGUGGCCUAUCGAUCCUUUUGAAUUAGAAAGUUUCUAGCAAGAGGUGUCAGAAAAGUUACCACAGGGAUAACUGGCUUGUGGCAGCCAAGCGUCCAUAGCGACGUUGCUUUUUGAUCCUUCGAUGUC